GCUGGCGGUAUGCUUAACACAUGCAAGUCGAACGAGAAGGAAGAGCUUGCUCUUCCUGAAAGUGGCGAACGGGUGAGUAACGCGUGGGUAACCUACCCUUUGGAAAGGAAUAGCCUCGGGAAACUGGGAGUAAUGCCUUAUAAGAUACGUUUGUCGCAUGGCAUUUGUAUUAAACGCUCCGGCGCCAUAGGAUGGACCCGCGUCCCAUUAGCUAGUUGGAGAGAUAACAGCUCACCAAGGCCACGAUGGGUAACCGGUCUGAGAGGGCGAACGGUCACACUGGAACUGAGACACGGUCCAGACUCCUACGGGAGGCAGCAGUGGGGAAUAUUGCGCAAUGGGGGCAACCCUGACGCAGCAAUACCGCGUGAGUGAAGAAGGUUUUCGGAUCGUAAAGCUCUGUUAUUGGGGAAGAAAAAAAGACGGUACCCAAGAAGAAAGUUCCGGCUAACUACGUGCCAGCAGCCGCGGUAAUACGUAGGGAACAAGCGUUGUCCGGAUUUACUGGGCGUAAAGGGCACGCAGGCGGUUUUUUAAGUCAGAUGUGAAAGGCCACAGCUCAACUGUGGACAUGCAUUUGAAACUGAAAGACUUGAGUAUUGGAGAGGCAAGUGGAAUUCCUAGUGUAGCGGUGAAAUGCGUAGAUAUUAGGAGGAACACCGGUGGCGAAGGCGGCUUGCUGGACAAAUACUGACGCUGA
rnacentral:rRNA from 1 species